rnacentral:tRNA from 1 species
GCCGAGAUGGCGGAAGUGGUAGACGCAAAGGACUUAAAAUCCUUCGAGGGUUUCCUCGUGCCGGUUCGAGUCCGGCUCUCGGCA